rnacentral:misc_RNA from 1 species
GAUGAAGAACGUAGCGAAAUGCGAUAAGUAGUGUGAAUUGCAGAUUUCAGUGAAUCAUCGAAUCUUUGAACGCACAUUGCGCCCGUCAGUAUUCUGACGGGCAUGCCUGUCCGAGCGUCAUUUCAACCCUCAAGCACUGCUUGGCGUUGGCGGAUUGCGUGCCCUCGCGGCGCUGCAACCGCCCAAAUACAGUGGCGGUCCCGCUGCGGCUCCCUUUGCGUAGUAACUCACCUCGCACUGGACCGGGCGGCGGCCUGCCGUAAAACCCCAACUCACGAAAUGUUGACCUCGGAUCAGGUAGGAAUACCCGCUGAACUUAAGCAUAUCAAUAAGCGGAGGA